rnacentral:rRNA from 1 species
GUUGGCGGCGCGCUUAAUGCAUGCAAGUCGAACGAGAACUGUUGGGUUCGUAAGAACCCGACAGGGACAGUGGCGAACGGGUGCGUAACACGUGAGGAACCUGCCCUGGAGACCGGGAUAGCCCGAGGAAACUCGGAUUAAUACCGGAUACCUUCUCGAGAUCGCAUGAUCUCUUGAAGAAAGGUCCGCUGCUCCAGGAUGGCCUCGCGGCCUAUCAGCUUGUUGGUGAGGUAACGGCUCACCAAGGCAGCGACGGGUAGCUGGUCUGAGAGGACGAUCAGCCACACUGGGACUGAGACACGGCCCAGACUUCUACGGAAGGCAGCAGCAGGGAAUAUUGCACAAUGGGCGAAAGCCUGAUGCAGCGACGCCGCGUGCGGGAUGAAGGCCUUCGGGUUGUAAACCGCUUUCAGGAGGGACGAAAAUGACGGUACCUCCAGAAGAAGGCCCGGCCAACUACGUGCCAGCAGCCGCGGUAACACGUAGGGGCCAAACGUUGUCCGGAUUUAUUGGGCGUAAAGGGCUCGUAGGCGGCUCGACAAGUCAAUCGUGAAAACCCGGGGCUCAACCCCGGGACGCCGGUCGAAACUGUCGUGGCUAGUGUCCGGUAGAGGUGAGUGGAAUUCUCAGUGUAGCGGUGAAAUGCGCAGAUAUUGAGAGGAACACCA